rnacentral:rRNA from 1 species
GUAGUCUGCAACUCGACUACAUGAAGCUGGAAUCGCUAGUAAUCGCGGAUCAGAAUGCCGCGGUGAAUACGUUCCCGGGUCUUGUACACACCGCCCGUCACACCAUGGGAGUCAGUAACGCCCGAAGCCGGUGACCCAACCAGGAAUGGAGGGAGCCGUCGAAGGCGGGAUUGGUAACUGGGGUGAAGUCGUAACAAGGUAAC